AACGAACGCUGGCGGCAGGCUUAACACAUGCAAGUCGAGCGCCCCGCAAGGGGAGCGGCAGACGGGUGAGUAACGCGUGGGAACGUACCUUUUGGUUCGGAACAACUCCGGGAAACUGGAGCUAAUACCGGAUAAGCCCUAACGGGGAAAGAUUUAUCGCCGAAAGAUCGGCCCGCGUCUGAUUAGCUAGUUGGUGAGGUAACGGCUCACCAGGGCGACGAUCAGUAGCUGGUCUGAGAGGAUGAUCAGCCACACUGGGACUGAGACACGGCCCAGACUCCUACGGGAGGCAGCAGUGGGGAAUAUUGGACAAUGGGCGCAAGCCUGAUCCAGCCAUGCCGCGUGAGUGAUGAAGGCCUUAGGGUUGUAAAGCUCUUUUGUCCGGGAAGAUAAUGACUGUACCGGAAGAAUAAGCCCCGGCUAACUUCGUG
rnacentral:rRNA from 1 species